rnacentral:rRNA from 1 species
ACGUAGGGUGCGAGCGUUGUCCGGAAUUAUUGGGCGUAAAGGGCUCGUAGGCGGUUUGUCACGUCGGGAGUGAAAACUCAGGGCUUAACCCUGAGCCUGCUUUCGAUACGGGCAGACUAGAGGUAUGCAGGGGAGAAUGGAAUUCCUGGUGUAGCGGUGAAAUGCGCAGAUAUCAGGAGGAACACCGGUGGCGAAGGCGGUUCUCUGGGCAUUACCUGACGCUGAGGAGCGAAAGUGUGGGGAGCGAACAGG